rnacentral:rRNA from 1 species
AUUGAACGCUGGCGGCAGGCCUAACACAUGCAAGUCGAGCGAGGGGCGGACGGGUGAGUAAUGUCUGGGAAACCGCCUGAGGGAGGGGGAUAACCACUGGAAACGGUAGAUAAUACCGUAUACUAUCAGAUGUGCCUAGAUGGGAUUAGCUAGUAGGUGGGGUAAUGGCUCACCUAGGCGACGAUCCCUAGCUGGUCUGAGAGGAUGACCAGCCACACUGGGACUGAGACACGGUCCAGACUCCUACGGGAGGCAGCAGUGGGGAAUAUUGCACAAUGGGCGCAAGCCUGAUGCAGCCAUGCCGCGUGUAUGAAGAAGGCCUUCGGGUUGUAAAGCACUUUCAGCGAGGAGGCGUUACCCGCAGAAGAAGCACCGGCUAACUCCGUGCCAGCAGCCGCGGUAAUUC